UACGGAGGGUGCGAGCGUUGUCCGGAAUCACUGGGCUUAAAGCGUGUGUAGGCGGGCCGUCAAGUGCCUCGUGAAAUCCCGCCGCUCAACGGCGGAACCGCCGGGCAGACUGACGGCCUUGAGGGACCCAGGGGCGAGCGGAACAGGCGGUGGAGCGGUGAAAUGCGUAGAUAUCGCCUGGAACGCCGACGGUGAAAACAGCUCGCUGGGGGUUUUCUGACGCUGAGACACGAAAGCCAGGGGAGCGAACGGG
rnacentral:rRNA from 1 species